UGCGCCUUGCCAGCCCGCUCAGGAAACUUAAAGGAAUUGACGGGGGCCCGCACAAGCGGAGGAACAUGUGGUUUAAUUCGAUGAUACGCGAGGAACCUUACCUGGGCUAGAACGCAUUCGGAAUCAGGCCGAAAGGCCUGCGCCAGCGAUGGCCGCUUGCGAGGUGCUGCAUGGUUGUCGUCAGCUCGUGCCGUGAGGUGUCGGGUUAAGUCCCAUAACGAGCGCAACCCCUACUGCUAGUUGCCAGCGGGUCAUGCCGGGGACUCUAGCGGAACUGCCAGCGUAAGCUGCGAGGAAGGUGGGGAUGACGUCAAAUCAGCACGGCCCUUACGUCCAGGGCUACACACGUGUUACAAUGGCCGGUACAGAGGGCAGCCACCCCGCGAGGGGGCGCGAAUCCCGAAAGCCGGUCCCAGUCCGGAUUGGAGUCUGCAACUCGACUCCAUGAAGUUGGAAUCGCUAGUAAUCGUGGAUCAGCAUGCCACGGUGAAUACGUUCCCGGGCCUU
rnacentral:rRNA from 1 species